CCUCACACUAGAAAACCCUUUAAUUGUUUUUCAGUUUAUACUUUUAAAGUGGGUGGUGAAGAAGUGGAGCUCAGGAAAGAACUCUUUCAAGACUAGAAGAACACAUCUGCUUUAUAAUUUUUAUAUUCUAUUUUAUCUAUUUUAUGCUCUAGCCAGAAGGCUGCUGAAUGCGCACACUGCAGAGGAAAGGUGGUGCAACCUUCUCCGUUAUAUCACGUUCGCACCCUGAGACCUUGCCAUUAUGUUGCCCUUAUCUGCUGGAGGUGCUGAAUAACCGUGUGAACAGACAAAUGGAAAUUAAUGGGCACUGAAUUUGUUCUGACGUGGAUGAGCUGUGUGAUUCAGGGGGGGAAAACUGCCAGCAUAAAGCAUUCAGGAAAUACAGUGAAGCAGUCAAAACUCAGAAGCGUAUUUAGAUGUCAGCGUCUCUGCCAAGUUUCAAUAAUGCACACUGUUGCUGAAAAUGAAAAUGGGCAAAGUUUUCCAUAACUGAAGGUUUGUUGGACACAUUGAGGGCAGGAUUCAGAGCUAACUAGACUUAAUUAGUUGGUUCUAUCUUCGUAGUACAGAUGGCAGCAGCUGGACCAAAUGUAGCUGCUGAAACUUUGGAGAGUGACACAGAAGCUCUAUAGCUACUGUGCAGUGGAUGGAUCCUGGAGGUGCAUUUGUAAGAAGAACAAUGUCAGAAGUCUGUCGGUAAUCUGAAAACAUUAACAGAUAUUUCCAGAAAGCGGAAUACAGAUACAGAGCAGCAGGGUAAAUUUGCAUCUCUCUUCCUGCACGUAUCAGUCUGACUAAAGGUAUGAGUUCUCUGCUUUGAGCUUAACAGGUUAUUUCUGUCAACUGCUUCUCUUUCCUUAUGAAAUUAAUUGAAUAAUAAAGACAUUUUAAGGAGUAUGUAAUUACUGAAUUAUACACAGUUUCUACUAUGAGACUCCACAUUUUUGCCAAGUCAAAUGGAUGGUAGUUAAAUCUCCACUAAAUAUGUUGUUGCACUUUAUCAGGGCAAAUACACAUUUUGGGCCAACCACUGUGAAAACUUAAAAGAUCCGUUUGGAGAGCAGAUUGAGUAUUCAAACUGGCCCUGUGUUUUCACCGGCAAUGUGAUAACAAAGAUAAACACCGUUGUUAUUGUUAAAGAUAGAUUCAUUUUUAAGUGAAAAAUAAUUCUUAGGGAAGAUAUUCUGAGGAAGAACGUUAUGACACAUGGAUCUAUUUUUGUUGUUUGGGGUGGGAGGGUUAGUGGUCCGUGGCUUUUCUCCUUUUGUUCUGGUUGCUGUGGGGUUUUUUUGGCUUCCUUUCCUCUCUCUGCCUUUGUCCUUUCUUUUCAGUUCUCAGCACUUAACCCUUCCUAGAGGAGGUGGAUGUGACAGUGCUGUUCUGCUGACAACAGCUCCUGUAAUGCUGAUUUCUGUUCUCGAGUAUCUCAAGCCAAAGGUAUCUCGGGUUUACAGUGUCACUGCUUUUCAGGAUCAGGGGAGAGCAAGAACAGUAACCAGCUGAAAUCAAAUCCUGAAUCUUCAUUCUGAAGAGUGACAUUUUAGCAUUUGGUAAGUUGGCUGUCACAUUUCUCUAGGUAUCACACAGCAAACUUGAGGCCCUUAAGAAUAUUCCCACUAGACCAUGAGCAAAAAGAGUGGCUGUCCUGCAUAUGUGAGUGAGCCUUGGCCAGUCCUGAAAUAGGACUUUUAUUCUGGAGACAGACAUUUUUGUAAUGAUGGUUGAAGAGAGCUGUACUGUAAGUGCUGUCAGUGGGCUGUACUGAAUUUGUGCGGGUGAAUCCCUGCUUCACGCUGUACCACUGUUAGAAGGUAGCUGCAACUUAAAGUAGUUUCUAAUAGAGCACUGUUUCCCGAUAAGGAAUAUUCAGAUGAAACAUGUCCUAAAAAGAGAUUAAAACAUUUCUUUGGGGUUUUUGUCUGUUUUUAGCAAAUGUCAUAACAAGUGGGAUUCCUCUGAAUAGGCAUCUAUCUGUCUGUAUGGCAGCUAAGAUAAGAUAGUUUGUGGUUCAGUAUGGCACAGUAUAAAAAAAUGGCUUGGGAACAGACAUACUUGAUUGACCCAGGAAGAUCAAAAGAAUUAAGUCUGGACAGACAAUUACGGUGUGACAUGAACCGUAUAGAGACAUUUUGGGUGGUCUUUAGGAGAAUGAGUUUCAAGCUGAAGGAAAAUUCUGGCUGAACACUGGGAAGGAUCCUCAGGCGUGAGCCCUGUGCUGCUCAUGUACAUUGGGUUCUUCUGCAGGUGCCCAGCUCACCUUGGAGCCUCCUCAUGCCAGAGGAUGGUAUGAGCAUGCACACAGAUACACGCCUGAGGUGAGGCAAAGCAACGGAGCAGACUGUUGUGGAGGAAGCUGGCAGGAUGAGCUACCAGGCUGUGCAGACUUUGUGAUUUUGGCUUAGAGUGGGGCGAGUGUGUACACUGCGUAAUGUUUAACCAGCUCACGUUUUGUUUCUCUGAACCCUUGUAAAACAGCAGGAGACUGGAGGCUUUUGUUAGAAUGAAGGGAGCCUGACAACCUGCUGAGAUGUUGCACCUGUAAGCUGGGGUAAAACGGCCACAGGAGGUUUCUGUUCCUUAGACACAACAGUACAUCACCAAAAAUGGUGGGGCCAAGGAGGACUCGAGGCCCUGGAUUCUUCUCAAGCAAUUUUUGAAUGCAUAUCUAAUGGAAUCAAGCCUUUACAAAGGAGAAACUGUAUCUCACCAUGUUUGCUGCCUGCCAGAGCAAGUCUGCUCUCCCUGCCCUCACAUACACUAAUAUUUGUAGUUGUUUCCGAGUCUCUGGAGCUCUGCACCUUGUGGCCCUGCAAGUGUAGCUGUGCACAUCAGCAGCUGAGCAGAAGAGGACAGCCAGCUCUGGCAGAUAGCAGACAUGGCAGGAGGCGAUUUCUUUUGCAUGAUGGUGUGAUGCCAUUGCCUCAUCUCUUGCAUCAGGCAGCAAAGAGCCGGGAAUGCAAGAUGAUGGGAGAAAGGAAUGGGGUCAGGAGCUGGGAGUAAAAGGUUGAUUGCUUGGGUGUGCUUUGCACCAAGCAGGGACCACGAGCAAGCAGAAAUAAAUUGUGUUUGGGAACAGAAGAUAGAUGUGGUCUGACCUUGCUUACUGAGGAGUUUUGUGAGGGUUUAGAAAGCAACAUCACUGGAUGGAGAUAUUUGCCCUAAUUUUAAUCUUUGUUUUCCUUUACAUAUUGUUAGAAAAAUGUUGCUCUGGGUUUUCAACCAGGGAAUGAGAACAGGGCAGAGGGAACAGCUGGCUGCUCUGUCUCUGGACACUUUUAACUAAGCUUACAUGGACUUAGCGCUCUCAUUAGAGUUACCAGACAAGUCACAAACUCAACUUGUCUGCCAUCUCCUGAGAUGAACAGCGUGAUUAUUGGAAUGGAUGUGCUGGUGCCCCUCGCUCAUUUUAAGUAAUUUUAUUUUUCAGGUGCGAUAAAUGUCGCAAUGUCACGGAUGGGCAGCAGUGCUUGUUCUGGCUCAUUCUUUCUGCUUGUUGAAACAUUGGAAGAGUUACAAAUCUCUCUUUUUUUAGUAUGCGGAAGGUCUAAGUUGCAACAAACAUACAGGGCUUGGACAUUUCCAAGAUGUGACAGAGCCUUAGGGCAGGAACUGAAAGGUGGUGCCUUGCCGGGCAUGAGCUGCUGCCCAAGGAGAGCAGGGGUAAAAUAAGGGCUGCGUAGGGAAGAACUUAUUGUUCUUCUUUUGACAGCGGGCUAGUCUGACUUUGGAAGGCCUUAGUCAAGAAGCAUAGAUGAGGUAAUGAUGUAGAUGUGUGGCAGACAGAGUGCCCAGCUGCUUUAUGGCUACUGAGAAAAUACCCCAGAUUUAUUUAUUUAUUAUUAUUAUUAUUAUUAUUAUUAUUAUUUUUAAUUAGCUUGGUGUUGCAGGCAAAGGGGCUGUGACUACAGCUGCAGGAAAGAGUUCUGAAUUCGUUGUUCCUCAAGUAAAACAUUCCUGAUUGCUUAAUAUUUAUCUCAAGUAAAUUGGCCUCUGGUGCCAGAGAAAACAGUCUUUGGGUUCAGCAGGUCCUAAGGCAAAGAAACUUUAUUAUGUUUUGGGCAGGAUCUACCAGCACUGCCAGAUGCUGUGCUAUACAUUUAACCUGAAUCUUCCCAGCAGAUGGGGGGCUAAAUUUGAAAGCGUGCAGCUGAGGAUGAAGGCCGUGAUGGUCUGUUUUUCAUCAAAAGCUUGAGAUCGCAGCAGCACGGAGCUGGAAGAACAAGGGAAGUUUGGGGCUCUGAAACAAACUGGGAGCGUGAGACACAAGUGCAGCUGAAGAACUUGGAGAGUCAGUGGAGGAGGAGGAAAAGAUCAGGGGAAGAGAAAGGAGGAACAUCUGUCCAUGCAGAAGAUGGGGAGCUGUACUCUCAUCUCGUGUCCUGCAGGAAGAGCAUCCAGCUCCAAAGCUCAGACACUGUGGGCAAGAUGAAGGAAAAUUCCAGUUCUGAAUUUGCAGACAGAAUUCAGGAACCAGAGGAAGCUCAGGAGGUUGUACCUUUCAGGACAGCUGUGGAGCUGCGGUGUGAUGGAGGACCUGACGAGGAUGUGUUUCAAGGCUGGGAGCCCCCCAGGAGGGGCAGGCUGACGAGGUGCUGAUGGAGAGGUGACCACGUCACACCGCUGCCUGGGCCAGGAGUGUCCUGCAGGAGUUUGCCAAAUGUAAACCGAAGCAAAAGGUUUCUGGAUGAAAGUCAGAAGUGAAACGUUGGGCUGCUGAAGUGCAUGGUGAGGAAAAAAACUGGGAGAAGAAUGUGAAGGAUUCCUGGCCUCAACAGAGAACAUAAGAAGUCAUAAAACAGAAGGAUAACAAAAAUUACUGGAAAACGGCCAUAGUAUCUGUUGUACAAAGGAAAGCAGGAUUUGGCUGUGCCACACUGAGGGGGGCACCCUUAUUCUAUGUGCUGGAUAGGUACCUGGCUUGCUUUCUCAACUGCUUAAUACUGACCUCAGCCCACUGGGUGCAAUGCACACCUCAGGCAUGUCCCUUCUGCUCUCAGGAUGUGGUUAGCGGGGGCGUUACCUCCAGAAGAGCGGUUUGAUAGCAGUGGAGAUUUGGUCCUGGGGUGUGGGGAAUCCCGGAAUGGCAGAACUACGGGGAAAAAGAGUAAAGGAACAAAAAUACCAAAGAAUGAGGUUAAAUAUUACUAAAAGCAAAGAAGGAGUCGGUUGAUCCUUAACAGGUACUGUUAAGUAACAUGAGAACAGAGAAUGAUUUAUUUUCACCCAGACAGUGCAGGUCUACUUUGCUUUCUUGCUUGUCAUGUUUUUAAGAAAACGAGGGUUACAGCUACACGAUACCCAUGUGUAUCAAGCAGGUGUCUGCAUUAAAUCCAUCUGGAACUCUGGAGCAAAGCUGGGUAUUUCUUGGGGGAAAAAUGGCAACCUAAUGGGAUCCUAUCAAUCACUGCAAUGUCUGCUAUUUCUUUUACCCCAAUGCACAUUGCUCAUCCACGAUGGGUUUGGUUUUAUGUCUUUUCCCUGCUGUGGAAAAACUGAAGUCAUACAACUGCAGGACGUUGGCAUAAAGCAGCAGGUGAGUGUAUUUUAACCUGCCGGGAAAGCUCUGAUAAUUUGGGCUGUGCUAUAUAUAUAUGUGUGUGUGUGUGGAUUUACUCCUGUUUUACAUCCUACCAUAUACAUACAUACAUAUAUGUGUAUUUUGGGGUUUCCAGUGCCAGGCUCUCAAGGGCUGUCCCAGUGUUACACUGUCAGUGGUCACAGCGCUUUACGGUGGUACUUGUUUGAUUAUGAAGUACCUAAAAUAAUUCAUAAACACAAAGACACCAACUCCUCCUGUUGUCAUCCCAGUACUUCCUUCUCUUUACCAUCUAAAUUCAGUCAAACGUGGGGUUCUAAGGCUCACUUCUAAGUUGCCAUUUUGUGGGCAAAACUCAAUAUAUAUAUACCACUCUUACAUAGUUAAAUGCACUGACAGUAG